ensembl:lncRNA
GUAAAUUUAAAAAAACAGUGAGCGAUGACAUAGAAAGAAUGUGGUGAAUCCUGGAACCAACUUACCUUGGGGGAAAAAGUAGGGAACCGAAUGAGUGUGUCAAGAUCAAGUCUCAAGCUGUAGCGGCCUCUGUGUCUGGAGACCAUUGCAGUCACUACCAAGACCAUUUUUUAAGCCACUAAACGGGAGCAGCUGGUGAGUCUGAGGAUAAAGAUGAUACUGAGGUUAAGCUUUCCACAGAGUAUCCACCCAGAGCAUGACCAUCACCGCAACAUCUUAGGUCAGGAAACCCCAGUCACGUUCCGAUUCUGUUGUUUCCCAGCUAUAUGACCCUAGACAAGUCACUUCCUUCUUGUGAGAGUCAGUUCCCUAAUUCAUGCAACAAAGAGACUGAGCCAGUUCAUUCCAAAGGGUUCUGGCUUAAGAAUCCAAGUUGCCUUUGCUCUAGGACUUCUGGUUCAAUCUCUAAAAUAUGGCACCACCGAGAAGAGACCAAGUAUUUUCACGAACCUUGAACUUCAGUCCCCGCAUCUUCCUACAGGACUGACAUACCAUCUUCAGUCAACAGUACCAGGAUUUAUCUUCCUGAGACUAUGGCUCGUGACAGUUCUGACACUUCCACUUCUCCUGAAUGCCUACUCUUCUUGCCUCCCCGACCACCUCAAUGACCUUCUUUGACACACUAUUCCCUGCCAGCUCUACCUGCCAGGAGUUCAUUGUGUGGCAGGAGCUAGGAAGGCCCUCCAACCCCCCGGACUCUCUGCAUCGCAUCUCAAGUGUGCCUGUUCUGAUUUGUUGUUGUUCAGUCGCUAAGUCGUGUCUGACUCUGAGACCCCAUGGACCGUAGCCCACCAGGCUUCCCUGUUCUCCACUGUCUCCGGGAGUCUGCCCAAAUUCAUGUCCAUUCAGUCAGUGAUACUAUCUAACCAUCUCAUCCACUUCUCCUCCUGUUCUCAGUCUUUCCCAGCAUCAGGGUCUUUUCCAGUGAAUUGGCUCUUUGCAUCAGAUGGUCAAAGUGUUGGAGCUUCAGCUUCAGCAUCAGUCCUUCCGAUGAAUCAGUCCUGUUCUGAUGAGUUCCCUCUACAUCAUCCCCAAGGUCUCCCACCCUCAGCUUUCCAUCUUUAGGGAUGGAGCUGUUGAGGGGGGGGGGUGUGGGGGCAAUUUCCCUUCUGGACAGCCCUUCCCCUCCCCAGAGAUGUGUUUGAAAGGUGUCUGCAUGUUGACUUGAACGCUGGGUCCCUGCACCACUUCCCCCUUGGCAUUAAUCUACACACUAGGAAGAAUGCUAAUUCCCCCCACACACAACGAACCCCCUAAAUGCUGGAACCCAGCGUUUGUGUAUCUUCAGGGCAUCCCUUCUCGAAGCAAAAUAGCCCUAACACCUUCAGCUCUCCUUCGCUUGAAGAGUCUCCAGUACUCUCCCCGUGCCUGCUGAUGCCCCCCAGUGUGCUCCAGGCUCCACACGUCCCUCCUCAAGUGUCUCCUGGAACCCAGGUCAGAGCUCCGGCUGCAGCUGGCUGAGCCGGGCGGGCUCCGCUGCAGUUGACGCGGGCUGAGGUUGCCUUUGCUUCUGGCAGCCCCAUCGCCCCAUCGUCCCACACUGAUCUGCAAACAGCUGAAACUUGACAGCAUGUUUUUCCUAACGUGUGCUCUUGUUAAUCCCUUCUGUGUUUGUGUGGUUGAUGUUUGCGAACCCAAGGAUGCAAUGGUCUAUAUGUCUGCCCACGAGCGCCUCUGUCCUGCUCUGCUGAGCUUCUUUAGAAUCCCAUGCCGGUCGUCCGACGGUCCCUCUGGCUUUGGAUCAACAGCCAUGCUUUCUGGAUCUUGAUCCAAGUCACUGAUUAAACUUGCUGAGUAGAACGGGACCAAUGAUAUAACCCUGUGCUACCGGAAACCUUUCCUGGGUUAGAGAUCACACAGGGACAGUCCAGCUGCCGAACACAGCCUGUGGGAUGUUUUGCUUGGCCUGCAUGGUAUUUUCUUUCUUGUUUUAACUUUGAAUCAGUGGCCAACAUCUGGGUUCCAGCUUCUCCUGAAAGACUGAGUGUAUCUCAACACUGGGUCCACAGCCAGCUUCUCCUGAAAGACUGAAUAUAGCUCAACCCUGGGUCCAAAGUCCAACACGCUGACAACCGGCAGGCGUGACCAGAGCAGCUCUGGGUGGUUGCGUGUGUUGUGGACUGCACACCCCCCUGGAGGUGUGUGGAGGGCGCUCAGCCAUCAGUGACCGGCUCUCCGUUCGUCUCUGUCCCCAUCACUGUGUAUCAUCAAGCACCCUGCCAGCCCUACCCAUCAAUGACACCAUCUGACUCCUGAAGGCGUUCAGAUUAAGACCGUGGAAGACGAACUUGAGAUGAGCCUGACGCAUGUGGUCCUGGGAACCUGGUCUAAUUCUUCUGCCAUCACCGCGUACCUUCCUAAGUGUGUACAAGCUGUCCUUUAAGACAGCGGCAGUGCUCUCCAGGACUUCACCAGGAGCCAGUCAUCAGCCUGGGAGC